rnacentral:rRNA from 1 species
AGUGAACGCUGGCGGUAGGCCUAACACAUGCAAGUCGAACGGCAGCACAGUAAGAGCUUGCUCUUACGGGUGGCGAGUGGCGGACGGGUGAGGAAUACAUCGGAAUCUACUUUUUCGUGGGGGAUAACGUAGGGAAACUUACGCUAAUACCGCAUACGACCUACGGGUGAAAGCAGGGGAUCUUCGGACCUUGCGCGAUUGAAUGAGCCGAUGUCGGAUUAGCUAGUUGGCGGGGUAAAGGCCCACCAAGGCGACGAUCCGUAGCUGGUCUGAGAGGAUGAUCAGCCACACUGGAACUGAGACACGGUCCAGACUCCUACGGGAGGCAGCAGUGGGGAAUAUUGGACAAUGGGCGCAAGCCUGAUCCAGCCAUACCGCGUGGGUGAAGAAGGCCUUCGGGUUUUAAGGCCCUUUUGUUGGGAAAGAAAAGCAGCAGGUUAAUACCCCGCUGUUCUGACGGUACCCAAAGAAUAAGCACCGGCUAACUUCGUG